rnacentral:rRNA from 1 species
GUGGCUACCUGCCCUUGGGACAAGAACAAUCCCGGGAAACUGGGGCUAAUACUUGAUAGAUGAGAAUUACUGGAAUGUAUUCUCGUUAAAAAGACUUGUAGAUCAUGCUUCUAUAAGUCGCCCAAGGAGGGGGCCGCGACCGAUCAGGUUGUUGGUGAGGUAAUGGCUCACCAAGCCUUUUACCGGUACGGGCCGUGAAAGCGGUAGCCCGGAGAUGGGCACUGAGAUAAGAGCCCAGGCCCUACGGGGCGCAGCAGUCGCGAAAACUCCGCAAUAUACGAAAGUGUGACGGGGCUAUCCCGAGUGCUAUCCGCUGAGGAUAGCUUUUACCCAGUAUAUAAAGCUGGGAGAAUAAGGAGAGGGCAAGUCUGGUGUCAGCCGCCGCGGUAAUACCAGCUCUCCGAGUGGUGGGGAUAAUUAUUGGGCUUAAAGCAUUCGUAGCUGGCCUGGCANGUCCUUUGUUAAAUCCACCGAUUCAAUCGUUGGGCUGCAAGGGAUACUGUCUGGCUNAGGGACGGGANAGGUCCACCGUAUUUCCUGGUAGAGUG